rnacentral:lncRNA from 1 species
UACUGCUAAUUGUCCUUCUUUCUUUAGGGAAACUUCCAAACAGGUGGUUCUGCAGGCUGCCAAUCACAGUGUCUCCUUCCAGAAGUGAACACACACAAGUCCUUCGAAGGCAUCAGGAAGGAGGAAGGCAGACGUCCAUAGUGAGCACGGACUCUGCCAACAAGAAGACCAUCAUCAGAUGCAAGGCCUUGGGCCAGAACCACCAGCCAAAAUAAACCUCUUUCCUCUAUAACCUCCUGGUCUGUGGAAGGGUGUUAUGAACAAC